rnacentral:rRNA from 1 species
CCUACGGGGGGCAGCAGUGAGGAAUAUUGGUCAAUGGACGCAAGUCUGAACCAGCCAAGCCGCGUGCAGGAAGACGGCUCUAUGAGUUGUAAACUGCUUUUGUACGAGGGUAAACGCAGAUACGCGUGCCUGUCUGAAAGUAUCGUACGAAUAAGGAUCGGCUAACUCCGUGCCAGCAGCCGCGGUAAUACGGAGGAUCCAAGCGUUAUCCGGAUUUAUUGGGUUUAAAGGGUGCGUAGGCGGUCGGUUAAGUUAGUGGUGAAAUUCCGCGGCUCAACCUCGGAAUUGCCUUUGAUACUGGUCGUCUUGAGAGUAGUUGCGGUAGGCGGAAUGCAUGGUGUAGCGGUGAAAUGCUUAGAGAUCAUACAGAACACCGAUUGCGAAGGCAGCUUACCAAGCUACGACUGACGUUGAGGCACGAAAGUGUGGGUAUCAAACAGGAUUAGAUACCCUUGUAGUC